AUCUUGAUGUUCUUGAAGUGUCUUCAGCUGCUUCCUCAUCGUGCUCUCACGUCCGUCCACUGCUUCUCUUCCUUUGGCCUCCGUCUGCUCCUCCAUCUUCUCUCUGGUGCUACUCAGCAGGUCCUGAGUCGUAAACACGACCAUGAUGCAACCUGGUGCAUCUAAACCCCCCUGAGAUGUCCUCCUGUCCUUUAGGAGCUACUCUGUCACUGACUGUGAGGAGACGACUAAUGAUAUCAUCUCAAACUAGUUACGGCUUUCAGCAAAUUAAAAAUCAAUCCAACUCAAUGUUAGAAUCACAAAGCUGAGAUGAAACUUUUAGGGUGUAAACGCUGCCGCAGGAGAGAGAAGAGGAAACUAAAAUAAACGUCUAAUGAAAAUCCAUAAAAGCAAAAUGAAGUUCAAGUUAAGAAAGUAAAAGUCUAAAGUCACAACGAUAAUCAAUAAUCAAUCUUAUGUUUAAACGUUGAAUACCAUUCAAACUUUAACUAGUAGUGACGAUGGACCUUAACUCAAAGCCUAAAGCAAUAAUAACCCACUUAUCUGACAUUUAAAUACAAUCUAGUUCCACCACUGGAGAUCAAAUCUAUUCAACCUUUUCAGAAGGUCACAUUAAAAUCAGAGCGGCUCUUUAAAUUGGAAUCGAGAUCAAAUCCAAAUGAAGACAAAGCUGAUAUCAAACUGUAUCAAUGCUGAAAUGAUCACAAGUGAUAUUAAAGUUGUAUUUCUUACCUUUACUUGAAUGUCCAUCAGUGUUGGAGGGUGAACAUCAAUGAACAGUCCUUGUGUCCCUUUGACUCUAAUGAAGACAUUGUCUCUACAUCAUGUGAUUACUCCUGUAAACCAUAUGAGGCGUGUUGACACAACAGCUGAUGACGUGACAAUCGUUAGUAACUCUGCACCUCGACACGCUGAGAACACAAAGUACUAUAUUAUAAUAGUACUAUUAUGAUCAGCAGCCUGUGACCUGACUGACCCUGUUCACUGAAUACUACAGUACAUUCAAUGAUCACACCUUUGGCUUGAAUCCACACGCCGACCCGUUUGCAGAUGCUUGAGUGUAUUUACAUGAGGACGUUCUGUAAUAUCACAGUAAAAGUGCAGAACGGGACGGAAGUGAAUGAGUGAAAAACCAAACAGUGAAUCCAAUAAACUAACGAGUGCGUUUCUUCUCUUUGUUUGUGUUGUUUGUUCAUUGUGAAACAUUGUAAAUACUGAAUGGUCUUUAUUUCUAUAUUUAGUGAAUAUUUGCUUAUUAAAC
ensembl:lncRNA